GGAUGUGAGGGCGACCUGGUUGCAACAUCUGUCAACUCACUGAUGCCAGGGUUGAUUCUGCUGAUCUGGCUGGCUAGGCAGGUGUCCGCUUCCUCCCUCACAGCUCUAUGUGCAUCCCUCCUGAAGCUGCAUGCUUGGUAGAAGAGGACGACCAUCCCAGAUAGAGGAGGACCGUUCUUCAGUCAAGGGUAUAUAAGUAGCUGUAAUCCCCUCCUGGAAACUCCAAACAAGCUCUCAAACUGAAGAAAUGAUAUCACCACUGCACUGUGAUGUGUGUAUAUGAUGUAGUACAUAAUGUAGCCAC
rnacentral:snRNA from 1 species